CACCUCUCAGGGUCACACCUGGAGAGUUCCCAGUACUCUACCAGUCUCAACUAUGGGAGAGAGAGUCAAGCAGAGGCUGAUCCAUUCCAUUCCUAGCUUGGGCAGUGGCUAGCAAGUGGAAGACAAUCUGCUACAAGU